rnacentral:rRNA from 1 species
AUUGAACGCUGGCGGCAUGCCUUACACAUGCAAGUCGAACGGCAGCACGGGAGCAAUCCUGGUGGCGAGUGGCGAACGGGUGAGUAAUAUAUCGGAACGUGCCCAGUCGUGGGGGAUAACGUAGCGAAAGCUACGCUAAUACCGCAUACGAUCUAUGGAUGAAAGCGGGGGAUCGCAAGACCUCGCGCGAUUGGAGCGGCCGAUAUCAGAUUAGCUAGUUGGUGGGGUAAAGGCCCACCAAGGCGACGAUCUGUAGCUGGUCUGAGAGGACGACCAGCCACACUGGGACUGAGACACGGCCCAGACUCCUACGGGAGGCAGCAGUGGGGAAUUUUGGACAAUGGGCGCAAGCCUGAUCCAGCAAUGCCGCGUGCAGGAUGAAGGCCUUCGGGUUGUAAACUGCUUUUGUACGGAGCGAAACGGU